rnacentral:rRNA from 1 species
GUGGAUUAGAUACCCUGGUAGUCCACGCUGUAAACGAUGGGCACUAGGUGUCUGGGGUAUUGACCCCCUGGGUGCCGCAGCUAACGCAUUAAGUGCCCCGCCUGGGGAGUACGGUCGCAAGAUUAAAACUCAAAGGAAUUGACGGGGGCCCGCACAAGCGGUGGAGCAUGUGGUUCAAUUCGACGCAACGCGAAGAACCUUACCUGGGCUAGACAACAGCGGACCGUCCUAGAAAUAGGAUUUUCCCUUCGGGGACCGCUGGUUCAGGUGCUGCACGGUUGUCGUCAGCU